GACGAACGCUGGCGGCGUGCUUAACACAUGCGAGUCGAACGGAAAGGCCUGCUUUCCCUUGUGGAUUGCGGGUACUCGAGUGGCGAACGGGUGAGUAACACGUGAGUGAUCUGCCCCCAACUUGGGUAUAAGCCUGGGAAACUGGGUCUAAUUCCCGAUAGGACUGCAGGGUGGUGCCUGUGGUGGAAAACGAUUUUCUAGUGGUUGGGGAUGAGCUCGCGGCCUAUCAGCUUGUUGGUGGGGUAAUGGCCUACCAAGGCGGCGACGGGUAGCCGGCCUGAGAGGGGGGACGGCCACAUUGGGACUGAGAUACGGCCCAGACUCCGACGGGAGGCAGCAGUGGGGAAGAUUGCACAAUGGGCGGAAGCCUGAUGCAGCGACGCCGCGUGGGGGAUGACGGCCUUCGGGUGGUAAACUCCUUUCGACCGCGAGGAAGCCACCUGGUUGGAAGGGUGGUGACGGUAGUGGUAGAAGAGGCACCGGCUAACUACGUG
rnacentral:rRNA from 1 species